rnacentral:lncRNA from 1 species
UUUUUAUAUAUUUUUAGACUGUUUACCGUUUAACUCUUGUCCCAAUCUAACCUAGUGGGUUCAAAAAGGUGGGACCGCGCUGAAAACAUGAGUGGAUUAAAAGGAUCAGCCCUUUUUUGAAUUAAUAGUCGUGGUAACCAGCUAGAAGUCGUAACCUGCUCGUAUGAAAGGAUUUCUCGACGUGAAAUUGUUAAUUUUAUUCAACAACGCCAAGAAAC